rnacentral:tRNA from 1 species
GGUUGUGGCUCAGCGGCAGAGUGCCCGCCUCGCAUGUGUGAGACUCUUGGUUCGAUCCUCAGCACCA